rnacentral:rRNA from 1 species
UCUUUGGGCCACCUCCCAUCCGUGUCUAUUAUACCCUGUUGCUUCGGCGGGCCCGCCGCUUGUCGGCCGCCGGGGGGGCGCCUUUGCCCCCCGGGCCCGUGCCCGCCGGAGACCCCAACACGAACACUGUCUGAAAGCGUGCAGUCUGAGUUGAUUGAAUGCAAUCAGUUAAAACUUUCAACAAUGGAUCUCUUGGUUCCGGCAUCGAUGAAGAACGCAGCGAAAUGCGAUAACUAAUGUGAAUUGCAGAAUUCAGUGAAUCAUCGAGUCUUUGAACGCACAUUGCGCCCCCUGGUAUUCCGGGGGGCAUGCCUGUCCGAGCGUCAUUGCUGCCCUCAAGCCCGGCUUGUGUGUUGGGUCGCCGUCCCCCUCUCCGGGGGGACGGGCCCGAAAGGCAGCGGCGGCACCGCGUCCGAUCCUCGAGCGUAUGGGGCUUUGUCACAUGCUCUGUAGGAUUGGCCGGCGCCUGCCGACGUUUUCCAACCAUUUUUUCCAGGUUGACCUCGGAUCAGGUAGGGAUACCCGCUGAACUUAAGCAUAUCAAUAAGCGGAGGAAAUUACCGAGUGCGGGUCCUUUGGGCCCAACCUCCCAUCCGUGUCUAUUAUACCCUGUUGCUUCGGCGGGCCCGCGCUUGUGGCGCNGGGGGGCGCCUUUGCCCCGGCGCCGGACCGGGAAAAACCACCAAAAUGUCUGAAAGAUGAAGAUGUGCAGUUAUUCAAAGCGCAUCCAGUAAACAAUUUCACAAUGGGAUUUCUUGGUUCCGCCAUCCAUCAAAAACGCAGCGUAAUGCGAUAACUAUGCUGCAAUUGCCAAAUCUAGAGGGAUUAUCCGACUCUUUACCCCUCUUGUGCCCCCGUGAUAUCGCGGGGGGCCAGCCAUUCGACUGUUCAUGCUCCUCAGCGGUGUGUGCGUGUGAGUUGCUCUCUCCCGCGAGCGGGCA